rnacentral:rRNA from 1 species
AACGAACGCUGGCGGCAGGCCUAACACAUGCAAGUCGAACGCUGUAGCAAUACAGAGUGGCAGACGGGUGAGUAACGCGUGGGAAUCUUCCUAUCGGUACGGAAUAGCUCAGGGAAACUUGGGGUAAUACCGCAUACGCCCUUCGGGGGAAAGAUUUAUCGCCGAUAGAUGAGCCCGCGUCUGAUUAGCUAGUUGGUGAGGUAAUGGCUCACCAAGGCGACGAUCAGUAGCUGGUCUGAGAGGAUGACCAGCCACACUGGGACUGAGACACGGCCCAGACUCCUACGGGAGGCAGCAGUGGGGAAUAUUGGACAAUGGGCGCAAGCCUGAUCCAGCCAUGCCGCGUGAGUGACGAUGGUCUUCGGAUUGUAAAGCUCUUUUGGCGGGGACGAUAAUGACGGUACCCGCAGAAUAAGCCCCGGCUAACUUCGUGCCAGCCGCCGCGGUAAUAC